GCGCCCGUAGCUCAAUCGGAAUAAGAGCACCGGCCUUCUAAGCCGGGGGUUGCAGGUUCGAGUCCUGUCGGGUGCGCCA
rnacentral:tRNA from 19 species